CUUGCUUGUAAACGCGCGUGCUGAUCCAGCCGCCCGUCUUCUUGUUUUCGAAACCCCACUUCAUUAGAGAUUGAGUUUGAAACCUUUAUUUACAUCUAGUAAUUUAGUACUGGUUCUACUUGUUCUUGCUGGUUCUUCGAUUGCUUGCAGGACGAGUGCCCUAGUGGCCGGGUGUUGCGCUCCACAAGAUCGUGACAGCCAUUGGAGGCGGUGUAUCGGUUGCUAAGGCGCGGCCUUAGAAGGCUGUAGUCGGGCCGUGAACGUCAUCUCCAUUCACUAAUCGAGUUAUCCAGCGCCUCUCAUCGAAAGAUCAGGCGAAAACCCUAGUGGUUCACACGCCCAUGUGUAUGUAUCUCCCAUGUCUAGCCAUCAUGUAGGUAGAGAGUAGCUAAGUAGUGCCUAAGUGAGUAUGGUAGCUUAUCGAGAAGGUAGAAUGUAUGUCACGUACUUGAGAUGAUAGCUCUAACUUGUAAGCUUUGCUUUGCUUAUAUAGGGGCUCAUUUUAUUUUCUAGAGGGAGUUAGCAAUUAACUUGAUGUGUCAUGACGCAACAGAGGUGCAUGCGCAGCAACCAAUGGAAUAACCAACCAGCCAUGUCUUUCUCCAAAGAUAUUAAAUAUAGUAAGGCUGAAACAGCAAUAUAUUUGUAUCCAGUAUUCAACAGGGUGUAAAUCAUAGUGUUGAGGGAAUGAUUAGCUACUGUUUUUUUACGACAUUUCAGGUGACGUUACCCCUGAGUUUGCCCUGCUAUCAAUGUCGAAGCAAUCUUUUUAGCAGUUACAUUGCCCUGCUAUCUGUGUGUUAUAAUGAAUGAUAAAUAAAGUGUGCAACCUAUAGAGAGCAUCUUGCAUACUUGCGGCUGGUGAUAUUCUGUUUCAGCUAUUAUCAUUGGUGAUAGUCUGUUUCAGCCAUUGUCAUUGAAUAAGACCGUUCUCAGUUGGGAAAUUUAAUUUAGCAACUUUUAUCUAGAUGAACAGACGUUGAACAUGCACUGAUCAGGAGUUUGGUGUCCAUGAUUCAAGGAUGUCAAGCAACAGAGUAAGGCCUUGUUUAGUUCUGAUUUUUUUUAUUUUGGUACUGUAGCAUUUUCGUUUUUAUUUGACAAUUAUUGUCCAAUCAUGGACUAACUAGACUCAAAAGAUUCAUCUCAUGAUUUACAUGUAAACUAUGCAAUUAGUUUUUUGUUUUUAUCUAUAUUUAAUGCUUCAUGCAUGUGCCGCAAGAUUUAAUGUGACGGAGAAUCUUGAAAAGUUUUUGGUUUUUGGGGUGAACUAAACAAGGCCUAAGGUUAUCUUGGGUUACCGGUUGGCGCACCAAUGCUUUUGGAUGCUUCUUUUGGUGAUGAUGCAUUUUGGUAAGUUGUCUUCCUGCAAUGUUAGUCUUUGAAC
rnacentral:lncRNA from 1 species